rnacentral:rRNA from 1 species
UACGGAGGGCGCAAGCGUUGUUCGGAUUCACUGGGCAUAAAGAGCACGUAGGCGGUCUGCUCAGUCGGGUGUGAAAGCCCACGGCCUAACCGUGGAACUGCACCCGAUACUGGUAGACUCGAGGACGGAAGGGGUGAGUGGAACUCCAGGUGGAACGGUGAAAUGUAUAGAUAUCUGGAGGAACACCGGUGGCGAAAGCGGCUCACUGGUCCGUCUCUGACGCUGAGGUGCGAAAGCUAGGGUAGCGAACGGG